ACUUGCAGUUCUUGCCUGGUUUCCCACUGAAGCUAAGCAGGGUUGAGCAUGGCCAGUACCUGGAUGGGAGACCUCCUGGUGAAAGCUAAGGUUGCUGCUGGAA
rnacentral:rRNA from 1 species